AGUGUGUGUGUGUGUGUGUGACUGUGCGCACCAGUGUCUCUCACACAGUCUGUGCGCGGAGCAGAGUACUCGGAUCGCGCUCCACCAGCAGCCUCUCGUUGCUCUCAUUUGAGCACGCGGCUCGCGGCACACACACACGCACUUUCUCUCUCUCCUUCUCCUCUUUUUCUCCUGCAUUCGGACUCCAACUGAGAGAGGAUUUAACACACGCGGCUAGUUGUGGAGGACAUCCUGAGCCCCUAAAAACACGAGAUGUUUCUCCUAGCUGCUCCCGCAGAUAGGAAUCCGCUCACAGAGACGAGAGCCACGCUCUCCCCUAGGAGAGGAGUACAAAGGCCAGUCUAAUGCAAAACCAAGUCCAUCUGCUGUUGCCACAUGGAGAUUGAAAAGGCUUUGGACUGCAAGGUCAAUGAGGACAAACAAUUCCAGCAGCGGCUCUCGAGCGCAUGCAGAAGAAAGUGUCGGGUGAUGGGGGAUGGACUCGUGUGGUGGCAGAGCUGGUGUCUCCGAGCGCUGGCAUAAUUUCCAUGGCAGCCCUUCUUACUAUUAACUUUCAAUUAAAGCAUACACAAAAAUGCCCUGCCCCAAGCCUCUGGAAUGUGUCAAGAGGGGGAAACCAUGUAUUUUUGGAGCCACAACACCACUGGGAUCAUUCAUAGUGACAAAAAUCACACCACUGAACAUCUAAGCCCUGUUUUUAUUUCACAAUCACACCAGUGAGAACACCAAAACCACAAAUGAAACUCAUGCAUGCUAAAUAUUAGUGAUUAAUGGGAUGUUAUGUGAACCAUUAUGUCCCUUGGUGGAUUAACAGAGGUGUUACCUCCCCCUUGUGUCAGUUUUUCUAAUAAAAUUUUUUGGAUGAA